rnacentral:lncRNA from 1 species
GGCCCCAGGGAAGCAGAAGUACUCAGCUGGAGGCCCCGGGUCUGGGAGGAGAGGUCAGGUGGACUGUCAGAGGAAAGCAUGUAGGAUACAGUCCCUGGAGGUCCAGGAUUUGGGGGCCUCCGAGGUUCUUGACAGCUGUGACCCUUUGGGCUGGGAUGAUCCUGACAGAACAUCAGGUUCCCCAGCUCUGUCCCCUCUACAGUCUCUCCAGAAGAAGGGUCUGGGGGAAUCCGCCUUGCCCUGACUUCCCAUAAUAUUCAAACCAGAGUUCUUCGCAGUUCCUGGAGAGACCUACUCCCCCUACCCCAGAACAUGGGGCUCAAGGGUGACAAGCCCUGGUCACAUCCACGCUGCAGAUUGCCUCCGAAGCGUUUCCCGGUGAUUCUGUAAAGAUCCAGGUCUCGACUCUGCUGCAAAAUGAAUGAACUGCUCAUCUCACCGGCUCGGAGCGCACCCGGGCCAAACUUCUCGCUUGGCUUUUAUGGGGCUAAUACAUCUGCAGACCGAAUGUAUUAUUUCGGAAAACUUUCUUUCCCCUUUCUCCCCUCCCCUGCCCUUGCCCAGAAAAACUUAUUCCUUUGGCGGAAAUGGUUUCAUCAACGUCUUUAAAAAACCACUCAGAUCUUCUUGGCAACCUCGACUACCAUAAGAGAGUAGCAGAGAGAAUGCAAACGAAGCGGAGGGCAUUAAAAACCCUCCUGCUCCAGCAGUUCGGAGUGGAGAAGGGCCCGAUGAUGGAUGGUACCUGGUUUUCUGCUGAGCGAUUUUGCUCUUUUUACAGCUGCCAAUGGCUGAUGUAUUUCAUCUUUUGUUUCCUUUAUUGCCACUUAAGCAGCCGCCCUCAGGCGAGGGGUAUGUCUCUGGGCACCCACUCAUCCCACCCCCCAUGGGAGGACUUCAGCCAGCUGUUCUGCAAUUGAUGCCUGAUUGGGGAAGGCUCAGAGUGGCCCAGCUGGACGGGGUCCCCAGGGAGCACCCUGGCUACACUGCUGAGCUCAGCUGAUGGGUCUGCUGAGGAGGUGGAAGCGCCUGGAGCUUUUGGGGACAGACAUCUUAUUUUCUUGCACUUGAGUGUAGACGAGGCCCGUUGUGUCAGCCUUUGGGCCAUACAUUGUGCUGGGAGCUGUGUAGAUAUAGAGAUUUGGUGUUUCAGUUCUGUCUACAGAAUCUUACCAUAGGAUGUUAAGAUCAAUUACCAUGUGUGUGGUAGGAGCCUCCCUCUGGCACCUAUACCCAUCCCCACACAUGCAGGCAUGUGUUCAUGCAUGCACACAAGCACGCAUGGAUGCAUACUUACCCAUGACAUGUAGGCGCAUGAAUCAGCAUGCACAGAACAAUGGCCAAGUCCUACCCACUCUCCAGUCUGAGUCUACCCAAACCCCUGUGCACAUGCACACACACACAUUUAUGAACAACCCCCGGGGUAAAGAAGCCAAAGAGUGAAGCAAAACUGUGUUAUCCACAACCAGAAUUCAUGUGCAGGCAAGAAAGCACCCGGGAUGGGCUGGAGAGAUGGCUUGGCAGUUAAGAGCACUGACUGCUCUUCCAGAGGUCCUGAGUUCAAAUCCCAGCAACCACAUGGUGGCUCACAACCAUCUGUAAUGAGAUCUGACACCCUCUUCUGGUGUGUCUGAAGACAGCUACAGUCUACUUGCAUAUAAUAAUAAAUAAUCUUAAAAAAAAAAGGAAAGCACUCAGGAGGUGGCUAUAGUACCAAUAUUGUCUCCAUGAAGUGUCUUAUGGCCAUAUGACCUUGGCCAAGUCUCUUAACCUUGCUGAGACUCAGUUUCCCCAUUUGAAAUGGAGUUCCAGAUAUAAGAAGCCAUAGUUUUGUGAAAUUAAAAACUUCAAAAGCCAACAUGGGCUGGAGUGAUAUUCAUGGUAGUACUUAAUAAUAGUUAACAAAGUAUUAAGUAUUAGGUCCUAUGGGUAACACUAUGUUAAGUGUUUUGUAUAUAUUAUUUCUUUUGAUUAAUCCUCUCAAUAAAUUUAAAACUCAGAUACUA